GACGAACGCUGGCGGCGUGCUUAACACAUGCAAGUCGAACGGAAAGGCCUUUUCGGAGGUACUCGAGUGGCGCACGGGUGAGUAACACGUGGGUGAUCUGCCCUGCACUCUGGGAUAAGCCUGGGAAACUGGGUCUAAUACCGGAUAGGACCGCACUUUAGUGUGUGUGGUGGAAAGUUUUUUCGGUGUAGGAUGAGCCCGCGGCCUAUCAGCUUGUUGGUGGGGUAAUGGCCUACCAAGGCGGCGACGGGUAGCCGGACUGAGAGGUUGGUCGGCCACAUUGGGACUGAGAGACGGCCCAGACUCCUACGGGAGGCAGCAGUGGGGAAUAUUGCACAAUGGGCGCAAGCCUGAUGCAGCGACGCCGCGUGGGGGAUGACGGCCUUCGGGUUGUAAACUCCUUUCGCCAGGGACGAAGCGUUCUGUGACGGUACCUGGAGAAGAAGCACCGGCUAACUACGUG
rnacentral:rRNA from 1 species